GACGAACGCUGGCGGCGUGCCUAAUACAUGCAAGUCGAGCGGACUGAAUGGGAGCUUGCUCUUGUUCGGUCAGCGGCGGACGGGUGAGUAACACGUGGACACCCUGCCCGCAAGACCGGGAUAACUCCGGGAAACCGGAGCUAAUACCGGAUAACACCCAAGACCGCAUGGUCGUUGGGUGAAAGGCGGCGGAAGCGGACACUUGCGGAUCUGCCCGCGGCGCCUUAGCAGGGUGGGGAGGGUACGGCUCAGCCAGGCGGCCAGGCGGAGCCGGCCGGAGAGGGUGGGUGGCCACACUGGGAGGGGGACACGGCCCAGAGGCCUUCGGGGAGCAGCCGGAGGGAAUCGUCCGCCAUGGGUGAGAGCCUUACGGAGCGGCGCCGCGUGAGCGAAGAAGGCCGUCGGGUCGGAAAUCUCGGUUGUGAGGGACGAAGGAGCGCCGUUUGAAGAAGGCGGCGCGGUGACGGUACCUCACGAGGAAGCCCCGGCUAACUACGUG
rnacentral:rRNA from 1 species